rnacentral:misc_RNA from 1 species
AAGUCGUAACAAGGUUUCCGUAGGUGAACCUGCGGAAGGAUCAUUAACACUUUGUUAUACCAAUAUCAACCAACUGUGAACUAUACGUCCCUAUCCAUUGUAUUAUGUUGAAUUAAUUUCGGUUAAUUUGCAUAAUACGAUGCGGUAGACAAUACCUCUCAUAGUAGUUAUCAAUAACUUCUAUGGCUUAGUUUCGGCUAAGUUGUAGAAGCUUGAUAGCGAACAUAUUAACCAAUUUUAACUCUAUACCAAAACCUUGACUAAUCUUCAUAAAUCUUUUUUAACUACCCUUAAUUGGGCGGUAGAAAAAGUUUUUACGAAACAAAGAACAACUCUUAGCAAUGGAUAUCUUGGGUCAU